rnacentral:rRNA from 1 species
UACGUAGGGUGCGAGCGUUAAUCGGAAUUACUGGGCGUAAAGCGUGCGCAGGCGGUUAUUUAAGUCAGGUGUGAAAGCCCCGAGCUUAACUUGGGAAUGGCGCUUGAGACUGGAUAGCUUGGAGUGUGGCAGAGGGAGGUGGAAUUCCACGUGUAGCAGUGAAAUGCGUAGAGAUGUGGAGGAACACCGAUGGCGAAGGCAGCCUCCUGGGCCAGCACUGACGCUCAUGCACGAAAGCGUGGGGAGCAAACAGG